GUACAAGUGAGUGCCCCCUUAAAUUUUGCACCCCAGGCACCUCACUUGCUUCCCUCUCAUUCCAGCCCUGUCACGCAGGCCUAGAUUUGUGACCCUGCUCAGCCACUUACAAGCUGUGUGACCUUCAGCAAGUCGCUUAAGCUCUCUGAGACUUGUUUUCCUCCUCUAAGCAUGGGCACAGGAAGCAUACUCACCCUGCUCACCUUGCAGGGCUGUAGUGAGGAUCAGACAGGAUGGAGAGGAAGGAGCUUUGGGAAUGAAAAGACCCUGGACAGAGGUGGUAUUGAGAGUGUGGGAGCAGCUUGCAGCCCUCAGGAGGAUGGAGCCCCUCCUCCAGGGAUGUUUAGCGUCAUAACCUGGUGUGCUUUGCUGCCGUGGCCCACCCUCUGGAUUUCCUGCCUCGAACUCACAUGUGGUGUGCGUGAUGUAGAUGGGGAAAAUCUGAAGCACACGCUGGUUGAGAAAUUUGCCCAAGGCCCCACAGCCAGUUCCAGCACUGAUGGUUGCCACGGACAUUAUUUCCUUCAGUUUAUGACAGCCCUGAGAAGUCACUGGUCACGGAUAGCGUUGGUUCAUGAGAGCUGAUUGCUAAAUUUCCAGGAAUUUUGAGUCAGUUGUUAAACAUAGCCAUUAUUCAAUAGAUGGAGAUGGAAUCCUGGCUUUGCCACUUACCAGCUAGGUGACCUCGCCACGUGGCAAAAGCUACAAAGGAGUGAGGAGGGUUUGGAAACAGGCCCCUCUAGAGUCAAGUCUCGGCUUCGGUCUGACUAUCUGCGUCAGUUUUCUCGUCUGUAAAUGGGGAGCAGCUGCUGUUGAUAGCAGUAUCUGUUGUAUCUCUCACACGCUUUUGAAGGUUUGCUGAAUACUCACUAUGUGCCGAGCAUUGUUCUAAGCUCCUUGCUGAUAUUUUCUUAUUAAUGUUCCAGCCACUCAAUGAGAGAAGUAUCGUUCUCCCAAUGGGGAAGUGGAGGAAUAGCC
ensembl:lncRNA